AUUGAACGCUGGCGGCAGGCCUAACACAUGCAAGUCGAGCGGAGCGGCGGACGGGUGAGUAAUGCCUAGGAAUCUGCCUGGUAGUGGGUGAUAACGUCCGGAAACGGGCGCUAAUACAGCAUACUAUCAGAUGAGCCUAGGUCGGAUUAGCUAGUUGGUGGGGUAAAGGCCUACCAAGGCGACGAUCCGUAACUGGGCUGAGAGGAUGAUCAGUCACCCUGCAACGGAGACACGGUCCAGACUCCCAGGGUAGGCCGCGGUGGGGAAUAGUGGCCGAUGGGCGAAAGCCUGAUCCAGCCUUGCCGCGUGUGUGAAGAAGGUUUUCGGAUUGUAAAGCACUUUAAGUUGGGAGGCGUUACCAACAGAAUAAGCACCGGAUAACUGCGUGACAGCAGCCGCGGUAAUAC
rnacentral:rRNA from 1 species